UCAAGAAACUUACCACAAUGGGCGAAAGCCUGAUGGAGCGACGUCGCGUGAUGGACGAAGUGCUUCGGCACGUAAACAUCUUUUAUGUGGGAUGAAAUUAUUGACAGUACCACAUGAAUAAGGGGCUCCUAACUCUGUGCCAGCAGGAGCGGUAAUACAGAGGCCCCAAGCGUUAUCCGGAAUCACUGGGCGUAAAGGGUGUCGAGGCGGUUGUAUUAGUCGUUCGUAAAAUCUACGAGCUUAACUUGUAGGCGGCGAACGAAACGGUACGACUUGAGGUUUGGAGAGGUGCGUGGAACUCACGGUGUAGGGGUGAAAUCCGUUGAUAUCGUGGGGAACACCAAAGGCGAAGGCAGCGCACUGGCCAAAAUCUGACGCUCACACACGAAAGCUAGGGUAGCGAAGAGGAUUAGAU
rnacentral:rRNA from 1 species